CUUCAUAGGCAACCAAACUUAAAUUGAAGAGUUUGAUCAUGGCUCAGAUUGAACGCUGGCGGCAGGCCUAACACAUGCAAGUCGAGCGGCAGCGGGAAAGUAGCUUGCUACUUUUGCCGGCGA
rnacentral:rRNA from 1 species